GAUAAUUGUUCAAGCUUUCUGUUUUAAUUUUACAGAAAUUUGUCGACUGAAAUACCUAAAUUAAAUUUUGUAAAUAAUUUCUGAAUGACAGAAUGACAGUCAAUUAGACGGUUUAAAUGAAAAAGGAUAACAUCUUUUAAUAAACUCACUGUUGGAUUCAAAUUUUGCUACUGAACAGCCCAACUAAAAAACUUACAUCAAGGAAUAUUUCCCUAAUCCAUUCACGCCUUUCGCAGCCCAGCAAGAACCUUCGCACUGUAAGACAGACUUUCAAAUAUGCUCUAGUGCAUCGCUUUCUGACCAAUCAAGCUUCACCUGCUCACCUUCCUUUGAAGCCUUCGCUCAUCCCUUGGAACACCUCUCUAAAACGGAAUAACCUUACCAGUACUUCCUCUACAUCAACUUUCCAUCACUUGGCAGAACACACUCUCAAUAACAACGUAGCCUACUGUAUGAAUAUUGCUAAAUGGAUGACUACAACUGCAAAGGAAAACCCGAAUCCAUACAGGAAGAAAGUAAACUAUACCGACAUCCUGUGGCCCAUAGAGAAAAUACUAAAGGAAAUGAAGAUAAACAGAAGUGAUCGGAUCUUUGCCAAGUCUACGGAUUACAAGAAAUUAGAAGGCUUGGAUAUAAAAGAGAUUUAUUAUACUAAUUCUCGUCCAGCAAAGAAGAUAUUAAAAGAGACGAAAUUAGUGAAGAAAGAAUCACCGAAAGUACCAAGAAGAGAAGAGAAGCGUUAAAUCAAAGGUACCCAUAUGGAAAUGGAAAAACUUUUUUUGGAUUAAGUGAUUAUCAUAGACUAAAAAUUAAACGUAAAGAGUUUAUUAAUGUGAGCUUUUUUAUCCAUAGAUCUCAAUUAAACGUAUCCAUAGAUCUCAAUUUACCGUAGCUUGGUUACAAAUUCGCUUUGUAGCAUUUUUAAAUAAAUGAAGUUCGAAAA